GGAGGAGAUGUCUAGGUGGAAGAUGACUUCAAUUUCGGCUCUGCUGAAUUGGAGUUAAGAGACAUGGAGAUGUUGCUCUUUGGCAGGAGUGAGAAAUAACCGUUAGAACUUAGGAGAAUGAUCAGGUGACACCAGCAAGAUGAGGGGUAAUAGAAGCCAUGGGGUUUACCAGCUAGGUCACUGGCCACCAUUGUGUGAGGGACACUUAAGUGGAGCAAUGUCAGCAAAAGGCUACGUGGCUAUUUGCCAAGGAUGAGUGAGAGACUGGCCCUGAGCUAACAUCCGUGCCCAUCUUCCUCUACUUUAUAUGUGGGACACCUACCACAGCAUGGCUUGCCAAGCCGUGGUGCCAUGUCUGCACCCGGAUCCGAACCGGCGAAUCCCGGGCCACCGAAGCGGAACAUGCGCACUUAACUGCUACGCCACUGAGCUGGCCCCUUGUUUAGCCUGUUUUACACAUGAAGAAACUGAGGAUGCUGCCACAGCAUGGCUUGAUGAGCGGUGUGUAGGUCUGCACCCAGGAUCCGAACCUGCAAACCCCAGGCCACGGAAGCAGAGUGCGUGAACUUAACCACUAUGCUACUGGGCUGGCCCCAACAUAAAACUUUUAAAAGCAAACAUAGGAGAAUAACUUCAUGUCCUUGGGGCAAAGAUUUCUCAAAAAAACAUAAAAAGUACCAACCACAAAAGAAAAAAAUUGAAGAGUUUUUCUUUUCAUUUUAUUUUCAUUAAAAUAAAAAAUUCUGUUCACCAGAAGAUACUGAUAAGAGAAUGAAAAAGAAGCCACACGUGGGAGAAGAUAUUUGCACUACAUAUAUCC
rnacentral:lncRNA from 1 species